UGAGAGUGUUGCCCCAGGGCUCCUGGUA
rnacentral:piRNA from 1 species